rnacentral:misc_RNA from 1 species
AUUAAUAAGACUAGGUGAUGAGGAUUUUGUAACUAAGUUGGAAGAUGGUAUAGGCGUUAGACAAGCCAUACUUGUCAGGCUCUCCUUGCUCAUCCUCUACUAAUUAAUCUCUGAAAAGUUAUUAUUCUCUUUUCUAUAAUCAUAGUGUUCUUUUUUUUAAUUAUUUUUCUAUAAUUUCUCUUUUCUAAAAUCAAUGGCAUCUUUGUCGACGGCUUUGCCUGGGCCAUGACCGACCAUGCUCUUCAGCACGCGUUUAGUCAUCUUUGAAUUAAAUGUUGAUUUACGUUAUCGCAGAGAUCGAAUUCGACCCGACCCCACUCGGCUUUGUCGAUUCAAGAUCUAUGAUUUGUUUGUGUUAUAAUAUCUCUGCACUAUUCUUCUUUUAUGUUACACACUAACCUCAAAUUAAUACGGAUGCUCUGUUGGUCUUUAAUGAUGAUUUAAAUAUCUUUUAUUGAUGAAUACUUAAAAUUUUUAGAAUCCUAUUUCAAACUCUAAAUUUACAAAAUUCGAAAUUUAAAUGAUAAAGGCAACUCCCAACUAUUUAAACAAACAAUUACU